AUUGAACGCUGGCGGCAGGCCUAACACAUGCAAGUCGAGCGGAUGAAGGGAGCUUGCUCCUGGAUUCAGCGGCGGACGGGUGAGUAAUGCCUAGGAAUCUGCCUGGUAGUGGGGGCUAACGUCCGGAAACGGGCGCUAAUACCGCCUACGUCCUGCGGGAGAAAGUGGGGGAUCUUCGGACCUCACGCUAUCAGAUGAGCCUAGGUCGGAUUAGCUAGUUGGUGGGGUAAAGGCCUACCAAGGCGACGAUCCGUAACUGGUCUGAGAGGAUGAUCAGUCACACUGGAACUGAGACACGGUCCAGACUCCUACGGGAGGCAGCAGUGGGGAAUAUUGGACGAUGGGCGAAAGCCUGAUCCAGCCAUGCCGCGUGUGUGAAGAAGGUCUUCGGAUUGUAAAGCACUUUAAGUUGGGAGGAAGGGCAGUAAGUUAAUACCUUGCUGUUUUGACGUUACCAACAGAAUAAGCACCGGCUAACUUCGUG
rnacentral:rRNA from 1 species